CCAGCAGCCCCCUAUUUUUCCAGACAAAGGGUUGUGAACACUCUUAGGGAUGAGGCCUAGUCUUCUGGAAAAUGAACUUAGCUUCGCAGGGUUUACAGCUCUGGCCGAGGGUGGUAUGUAAU
rfam:Pteropus alecto contig51494, whole genome shotgun sequence.